UGCUGAGGGAACAAUGGUGAAGAAGAGAGUGACUACCCACUCUUCUGGGACACAUAUUUUAGGAGAAGACACAGUUCACUUCCCUCAAAAGACAAAUAAGUAUAUGAAUAAAAUGACCUGACAUGGCAAUUUCUGCUAAGAAAGGAAUAAAUUGGGGACUAAGAUCAAGAAUGAUGAUGGAGAAACUUACUCUAGACCAUUUUGCUGCUGGUGGAGACUGGACUGGAGUGAAGCAAGCACUGAAGUGAGGAGACCCAAUGAGAAGUCUGUUCCUAUAAUGUGAGCAUAAGAUUGUGAUGGUCUAAAAAGGGGAAGCAAAGAGACUGAAGGCAAACAAUCUAUCGAAGAUAAAAUCUCCAGGACAUUUCACUGAAUUGCAUGUGAGACUUUGCAGUAAGGACUGGUACGUCAGAGAGACUGGACCCUCUUACUCUGACCUCCACCAAGUAUAAGAUAAAGAAAAAAACAUCACUGUGAUUCAUUCAUGUUUACGUCUACGACAACAGUCUGAAAAAGAGCACCCUGUAAACUCAAAUAUAAUUUUCCAUCUUUUACUCAUCUCCUUUCUUGAAGUGGAAGGGUUUUCCUUGAGAGGCUCAGAGGUCAAGAUGGCCUUCAUAAUGAAGGGAUCAAGAAGAGGGUUAUGGGGAGGACGAAGAACGGAAGGAAGACAGAGAGGUUGGGUGCUGUAGGCCCUUUGGGGUUUUCACAUGUAAAAAUCUCUGAGACUCUUUCUGUGUGAAAAGUGCUAGCCUGCCUUUGAAUUGGAUCUUUCUUAAUCAACCAUACUAAAUGUAAUAUUUUUAAAAUUAUCUUUGGCUGUUGAACUGAGCCUGUUUCAACAUAAUUCCAUCUGGAACUGAGACAUCUCAAGGAUUCAUCUGGGUUCUCUAUGUCAUGGUUCCAUUACUUGGGACCUGUAAUCUAGACCUGCUUCCAAGAGUAAAAGAGACUGAAUACUCAUUAAUUUGCCUAAUUAACUCAUGUAGAUAAAAUGGUAACAUUUAAACAUCACUGACAUUACCACAUAAAUAACAAGAUGAAAGCCACUUGAAA